AUAACAGUGGAGGAGGAAUAGAUCUUGAAUACAGCGGCCAUCAUUUUGUGGCAGUCGGAGACAAAUUUUCCAUAACAUGCAUUACCACAGUGGAUUUGUACCCUCAGUGGACAUUCAAUGGUAAUGCUGUCAUCCCAGGGGAGGCUGGCUUUACCAUGCUUGAAGGUCAUGGAACCCAGGGAUACAUUGUGAGUCGUUUAUCAGUUGUGCAGGCUCAUACCUUCCAUGCCGGGGAAUACAAGUGUUCCCCAUUAACUGAUAAAACUCAUUCUGUUUAUGUCAUUGGUGGUAAGACGGUGCAGGGA